rnacentral:rRNA from 1 species
CCUACGGGAGGCAGCAGUGAGGAAUAUUGGUCAAUGGACGAGAGUCUGAACCAGCCAAGUAGCGUGAAGGAUGACUGCCCUAUGGGUUGUAAACUUCUUUUAUAAAGGAAUAAAACGAGGCACGUGUGCCUUUUUGCAUGUACUUUAUGAAUAAGGAUCGGCUAACUCCGUGCCAGCAGCCGCGGUAAUACGGAGGAUCCGAGCGUUAUCCGGAUUUAUUGGGGUUAAAGGGAGCGUAGAUGGGUUGUUAAGUCAGUUGUGAAAGUUUGCGGCUCAACCGUAAAAUUGCAAUUGAUACUGGCAGUCGUGAGUACAGUUGAGGUAGGCGGAAUUCGUGGUGUAGCGGUGAAAUGCUUAGAUAUCACGAAGAACCCCGAUUGCGAAGGCAGCUUACUAAACUGUGACUGACAUUGAUGCUCGAAAGUGUGGGUAUCAAACAGGAUUAGAUACCCCAGUAGUC